UUAAGAUCCUUAAAUUCAAAGAAUUUGGCGGUAAUUAAGUCUUUUUAGAGGAACCUGUUCUGUAAUUGAUACUCCACGAUUGAUUUUACUUUAUUUAAAUUUGUAUACCUCUGUCAAUGAAUGUAUUUUAAGAUUAAUUUUCUUUUUUUUUGUAAAUUAAUGACAAGUCAAGGUGCAGUUUUUUAAAGUAGAAAUGGGUUACAAUAGUAUUUUUUUUGAAUUUUUAAUUGGAAUAUUAAGAUGAAAUUGGAUUUAAUAGUAAAUUUUUUUAAAUAGGAAAGUUGAUUAUGGCUCUUAAUUAU
rnacentral:rRNA from 1 species